rnacentral:lncRNA from 1 species
AGUACAUAACAAUAGUUGUAAUAAGAAUAUAAUCAAGUGGGAAAACUGUUUGAAGAACAGGUAGCAGCAUAUUCAAUGGAUUGGUCAAAUUGGUUCCUAAAAUUAUAAAUCCAGAGUCAAAGCCAGCUGAAUGUAGAGCUUUGUCUAAAUUUGACAAGAAGAGAGAGACAGUGAAGAGCAGUGCCACAAUGAUGAAGAACACUCCCCAUACAAUCUUCAGAGGUCGGAUAGCUUCACAGAACUUCAACCACCAACUUUUCUCAAUGGUUUCCAGAUGCCUCUCUCUCCUUCGAAGCGUCCUUAGUCUCUCUUCUAGUUGUUGAACAGCUCGUCUAUCCCUUGAUGAUAGAGGUCGACCAUCUCUGCACUUUGACUUAAUCCGUAAUAUUCG